CCAGCCAGCGGGAUAUUUCCCAAAGUUAAGUCUGAUGAAGUAUAAAUUGGUAUUAACUUUUAGAUCUGUAUUUUGUUCAACAAAACAAAAAAAAUACUUCUGACAUCCUUACUUCAGCUACAAUCAAGCUGCAAUGAAACCUCCAGUCAGCGGACUUUUUCUCUCAAUGACAUUCUUUUGUAACUUUGACACUAAAAUAAUAAAAAAUAACCUAUUUACGACUAUAAUUUCACUUAAAUUACCUAUUCGUACAUCUAGUGCUUAAAUUAAAAAGUAUAGAAUUUGAAAGAUAUUAUGUGAGUAGAAUAUAAAAAAAAACUAUGUAUCAGGUACAAAUUGAAGCUGUGAAAGAAAAAGUUCGCUGACUAGAUGUUUCAUUGCAGCUUGAUUGUAGCUGAAGUAAGGUCGUCAGAAGUAGUUUUUUUGUUUUGUUGAACAGAAUAAAUACAGAUCUAAAAGUUAAUACCAAUUUAUACUUCAUCAGACUUAACUUUGGGAAAUAUCCCGCUGACUGGAGGUUUCAUUGCAGCUUGAUUGUAGCUGAAGUAAGGACGUCAGAAGUAUUUUUUUUGUUUUGUUGAACAGAAUAAAUACAGAUCUAAAAGUUAAUACCAAUUUAUACUUCAUCAGACUUAACUUUGGGAAAUAUCCCGCUGGCUGGAGGUCGGUUAGAAAACUUUGUAUUUCCGUUUUUUUAACGGAACAAAUUCUGUUUUCAGGAUAAUUCAGUAGAACAAAUUCAGAUCUAAUUCUCUGCAUCACUCUUAUGUCUCCCAGACAGGGGAUCCCGCUGAGUGUAGACACAUAAAAACUAAGAAGCUCAAAUGUAGGCGGCAGCACUGUUGAGUGUCUCUAAAUUUGGACAGUUCUCCUAUAUUAGCCCUGAUUUCGUUUCCUUUCCUUUUCGGCGGAUAAGAAAAUGACAGGUAUAAAUUAAAAUAAAAUUAGAUGGUAUCUACAGGAAUUAGCACCACUAUCCAGCUAAAAUUCGUGAUAAACUGAUAUAAAAUGUAGAGCAACGUGGAGUGUAGUUACGAAAAGAAAGCAGCCAUCAAUUGGAAAAUGGCAGGUUUGAUUGAAAAUAAGAUUUUCUGAGUUUUCUUCUUGUACCGAUCUUUAGGGAAUAAAUAUAACAUUAUGAUAUUGCAGUUAAACGCUGCGCAAAGGAUUAUAGUGUAAAAAUAUAACCAAAACAAUGCUUGUUUUCUUUGUCAAAAUUUAAGGACACUCUACAGUAGCGACAUCUGAUGGGAGAAAUAGGCAAUUGUAUCCUCAUAGCGACCGCUUUUUAAAAAAAUAAGUAAUAAACAUAUAUGUACGUUUGGUAUUGGUUUAUAUUCACAUACUGCCAUAAGUUAAUUAAUUUUCUUUAAAUUCCCAGUGCAUAGUGCCUCGUAGUUGGUACCUGUUGAAUAUACCUACGGGUAAUGAAGCCUAGUAAAUGUUAGCCGACCUUAUAAAGUAAUAGUUAGUAAGCCAUCGAAAACGUUUUUCGGUCGCUACCUAUACGUAAUAAUCCCAUUUCAAGCCUUUAGGUAUUUCUGUUUCAUAUAUCGAAUACGUAAAUUAUCUUAGUGGGUACUGAUUAUUAAAAUACUCUUAGUUGCAUUUUGGCAGUUAUUGAUCAAAACCAACCUAGGUCAGGAUAGUGACUCGGUUAAAGAUAAAUUAUAAAAAUCUAACCUAGAUGAUUAGACCAAUCUCAUUUUUCUUUUUGACUGAUUUACAAAUAAUAAAUUAGAUAACAUAGAGUACGACGUUUAACCACGUGCGUAUUUCUAUGCAAUUCCAUAGAACUGUAUCGGUUUGACGUUUCCUAAAAGUAUCUCAUUUGACUAGGUUGUUGCCUAUUUGUACGAAUCUUUCCAUUUUGUUGUAUCUUUUGUACUUAAGCCUUUAUAAGUCAUUGUUUUUAGUAAUUUCCUUGCGCUGUAAUUGUAAUACAAUGUUGAAUCGAAUACUCAAAUUGUACUUAUAUUAAAAUUAGAAAUAAGUAUUUACUGUAAGUAUGUGAUGUAUAUAUGUGAAAGUUUGUUCUUUAUUUAAUGCUAUUAUUAGUCACAAAGUAUAAUAGGAAUGUAGAUGUCCUGGCGUUAGUUAUCAUGUUGCAGUCAAUUUAUUUAACAUAAUCAUUUAUUAGUACUAGGUUACGAUUCUUAAUAUUUAAGAAUAACUGUAAUGAAAUAGCUUUUACGGAUAAAUUAUAUAUUUUUAUUGUUUUUUAGCAAUCAGAUUUAAUUAAUCACCAGUUUUGCCUCAAAUAGAAAUAAAAUGACUAGAUUUAAAUAACCAAGAUUGUAAAUGACGUAGGUGCGUAUAUAUAUUGUCCAUUUUAUUUUUAUUCAGAGUUCUUUUUUUACAUUUAUCAGUUUUGGGACGAAUGUUACUGUUGUACAUUUGAUAGUAUGAGAAUAUACCUACCUACAUUUGUAUUUUUAAAUUUUUAAACAGGCGUAGAGAAUGUUAAAGAGCAGGUGUUUUAAUUAUUUGAAAUGUCUUUGUUACUGAAUGUAAAUAACUCAUAACAUGGUAACAUUACCCACAUUGUGCAUUAAAAAGAGGUUUUCAUAAUAUCAAAAAUAGAUCAGCAGCAAAGUCCUCUAUCCAUUUUACUCUACUGCCAGUGCCACUAACAUAAUCAUCUCGUAAUAGUGAUGCACACAUAUGUGUUUUAUGUGCUUGGAACAUUAUUGACAGUUAGCAGUUUUUAGGACUCUACUAGGUAAUUAGAUUGCAGUAGAUACCUACCUACGCUACGUAAAGUUUAAUAUACUAAUUUUACCAAAGUACAAUACCUACCUAAUAGUUCUAGCUUAUCUUAUACAUAUAUUGCCAGUUAUGUUCCUUGUAUGAAUUAAACAAAUUAUAUUUAAUGUGAUAUCUUGAUUAUGGUUGGCGCUGGUAAAUAGAGAGCCUUGGACAUAAAAUUCUUAAGAAAUGUUUUAUAUUUUUAUGUAAGUACCUACCUUUUAUUAUAUGUUUAUUUCAUGUAAAUAGAAGUAGAUUGUAAACGUAUUUGUUAUGUUACAAGAUACAUUGAGUUGGCCAUAAGGCGUAGAGGCGUAUGCCUAUGCGAAUGUCAUAGUUAAUGCCAUGCAUUCGAAAGUUAAGCUGGGGUUGUAUAAACACUGAUUCUUUAUUGUAUUUUUUCUAUUUGAUUAUAACUGCUGUUAUUUUAAGAGCGGUUUUACACUAACAGGCUUUUGUAUACUUAUACCUCAUCAACGAUCAUGUGUUUGUUUCUUGUUGGUCAGCACUAUCUAGACAAGUAACUUUGUCGGGCUAACUUCUAUGCUCACUGAAGUAGCGGGGUAGUGCUUUAGUGUGAAACCACCCUUUGAAUAAGUAUCACGGAUAAAGUCGUCUGGUGACGAGCGGGCUUAGACCAGAGUCAGUAGGUCUAUACUUUACUGGUGGAGAACUGAGAUCUGACAAAUAUCAAAAUAUAAUUAUUUUUCGUAACAUUAUCAACAAAAACGUUUUAAAAAGUUAACAUUACGUUGUUUUAUGUUAUAAAAUGUGACCAUCGACAAGUUUUAUCUUAGAUAAUUAAUCAUUUAACUUAGACUUUCAACGGAUAUCAGUUGUCCACCGAGUUACAGAAUACGCCUACUGAUCUCAGAACGUUCUGAGGUGUAUAUAAAAUAGGUGCCAUGUAAGAAUGUAAAAAACAUAACAGAUUAUGUGAUUAUUCUAAUACUAUACUCAGUACAAUAAUGAUUCUGCCAAUAUGUAACUUAUUCUGUGUUAGAUGUCUGUCUAUACAUAAUAAUAUGUGUAACCAUAGAAAAUACGAAAACAGAUUUUAAAUACUUACUGUAAUUGUAAAAAUAUUUUUGAAAACUGUGUAGUCAGUAACAAAAGUUGUCGAAAAGUUUUAAAGCUUAUCAUAAGCAAGGUAUUAAGAUUUGAAGUAAGUACUUAGUUCGACUUCUUUUGUAGCUGACGAUAUUAUGUAAAAAGCGUUUGAUUGGGUCGUUAUAAUAUAUUAGAAUGAUUGCUUUCCCUGUAAGUGUCCCGUUGGGUAAAGAUGCCCGCCGUCUAGGUUGUGAAAAAGUUAUCAAAUGAGUCAGGGCGUCAUCCCAAAAUAAAUCUAUCAGGAUGUAUUUAUUUCACUUACAUUAAUUCAUAAAAUGUGACGCUUUGCUGCAAUAGGUACUGUGCCGUCGUUGGAGUUUACGAACCUGAAGGCAAACGGAACUUUUCGCUCUACCAAACAUCAAGUCGUCUGUUCGUUGGUAUAUCACUUGGACCGAGUAGUUUAAAGGACGCAAAUGAAGUAAAUAAUACUUUUUAUGACGUGACUUAUUGUAGAUUUGCCGCAAAUGGUAUAAACUACAUGUCCGGAGUGGCAUUAACUACUUAUAGAUUUACAAUAUCCAAUAUAUUACUUAAAACCCUAUAACCGAGACGUAUUUUUAGAUAGGGAAUGUAUUGAAUCAAAGAUCUUUAAAGUCUACUGUGGACAUUUUUAAAAUGCUGACUUCAAAUACAGCGACUGUUGCCGCCUUAGCCACUACGGCCCGUGGGACUCCUUGUAAGGAAAUCAGUUUGGUGAACUAGUUUGGACACUGGGAGCAGGGCAGCUAGGUUAGAUAGCUAUAAUCAUAUUCUGCAAGUGUCCGAAUAGCUCGUGACAGUUUAAAAACGUCCAAGAUCAUAUACUCGUAACCAACGACGGAAAUUGUGUUUUUGUACCAGAAUUUCACUACUUGAAUAGUUAUUUAUUAUGUAAAUCAAAAGGUUAGGGGAAGGGGGCCUAAAGCGAGCACCCAGCCUAAAGCGAGCACCGAUCGUAAAACUUACCUAUAGAAACUUACCGCGGCCCGCGUCCCAGUGGCGUUACCCCCCUCCCCGCGCCAAUGCGCGGCAGUCGUGAUUUCACAGUGACGUGAAUAACACAGGUUGUUCGCGCCAAAAACGAUUUUCGUCAUUUUUAUGCAAAUAAACGAAGAUGGUGAAUAAAUAUAAACGCAAAACACAGCAAUGUUCUUAGACUGAAAGCACAAUGAAGAAAGCAAUACAGGAGGUGGUAGAAAUGAAAAAGGCUAUAAAAACUACAGCUACAAAGUAUUGUAUCCCGCGAGCUACUUUACAGCGACACCUGAAAACAGGUUCUACCAAGAAAAAGUUAGGAAGUUUUACCAGUCUUCAGCUCAGAACAAGAGCUUGAAUUGUUAAAUUACGUAUUUGAAAUGGACAGUGUGUUUUAUGGUUUAUCGAAAGAAGAAUUGAUUUUUCACUUAAUAAAGUGCACA